UACAGAGGUCCCGAGCGUUGUUCGGAUUCAUUGGGCGUAAAGGGUGCGUAGGCGGUUUCCUAAGUUUGAUGUGAAAUCCCGGGGCUUAACCCUGGAAUUGCAUUGAAUACUGGGAGACUAGAGUACUGGAGAGGAAACUGGAAUUUACGGUGUAGCAGUGAAAUGCGUAGAGAUCGUAAGGAAGACCAGUGGCGAAGGCGAGUUCUGGACAGUUACUGACGCUGAGGCACGAAGGCCAGGGGAGCAAACGGG
rnacentral:rRNA from 1 species